ensembl:piRNA 21ur-287 ncRNA
UGCACUUGUCAUCAACAAACA